GACGAACGCUGGCGGCGUGCUUAACACAUGCAAGUCGAACGGAAAGGCCCUGCUUUUGUGGGGUGCUCGAGUGGGGAACGGGGGAGUAACACGUGAGUAACCUGCCCUUGACUUUGGGAUAACUUCAGGAAACUGGGGAUAUUACCGGAUAGGAGCUCCUGCUGCACGGUGGGGGAUGGUAAGUUUCGGCGGUUGGGGAUGGUCUGGAGGCUUAUCAGCUUGUUGGUGGGGUAGUGGAUUACCAAGGUUUUGAAGGGUAGCCGGCCUGGGAGGGUGACCGGCCACAUUGGGACUGAGGUACGGCCCAGACGCCUACGGGAGGCAGCAGGGGGGAAUAUUGCACAAUGGGCGGAAGCCUGAUGCAGCAACGCCGCGUGCGGGAUGACGGCCUACGGGUUGUAAACCGCUGUCGCCUGUGACGAAGCGUUAGUGACGGUAAUGGGUAAAGAAGCACCGGCUAACUACGUG
rnacentral:rRNA from 1 species